GGACUGGUAGCUCAGUUGGUAGAGCCACCACUAUAUAUGCGGGAGGUCUCGAGCUCGAUCCUCCACCAGUGCA